rnacentral:rRNA from 1 species
GUGGGGAAUAUUGCACAAUGGGCGAGAGCCUGAACCAGCCAAGUCGCGUGAAGGAAGAAGGAUCUAUGGUUCGUAAACUUCUUUUGCAGGGGAAUAAAGUGCAGGACGUGUCCUGUUUUGUAUGUACCCUGAGAAUAAGGAUCGGCUAACUCCGUGCCAGCAGCCGCGGUAAUACGGAGGAUCCGAGCGUUAUCCGGAUUUAUUGGGUUUAAAGGGUGCGUAGGUGGUUUGAUAAGUCAGCGGUGAAAGUUUGCAGCUUAACUGUAAAAAUGCCGUUGAAACUGUCGGACUUGAGUGUAAAUGAGGUAGGCGGAAUGCGUGGUGUAGCGGUGAAAUGCAUAGAUAUCACGCAGAACUCCGAUUGCGAAGGCAGCUUACUAAGCUACAACUGACACUGAAGCACGAAAGCGUGGGGAUCAAACAGGAUUAGAAACCCCGGUAGUCC